AGCGCCAUUUUGCCGCGUAGAUUUUAAGUUAUUGCGUUUCGUAGAGAAGUUUUGUGAGUUUUUCUAGUGAAAUAAGUAUUUUAUACAAGAAAAGUGUGAUUCAGUUUCAUUAUGUGUUCAAAAAAUAUAAUGGAAUAAAUAAAAGUUACAUAUUAAGGGUGAAAGGUUAUUCCGAUCGAUGGCGUUAGUAGUACGUGAAUUUGAAACGCAGAGGGGAUUAUCAGUUUGAAUUCUCGCAUCUUUUUGAGGAAAUCGUGUAAACAUCAAGAAUUAGCGCAGUGACCUGAUUCCUUGCAUGCAACGGUAAGAGUGUUUCCAGAGAGUGGCGCAGGGAGAUGGAAAGAGAGAGUUGGCGGGGCGAGGGAGCGAGACGGAGCGAGCCGCGGCCGCUCUGGUGAGAAGAGGAAGGAGGCGAGAGAGGGAGCGAGAGCACGCCUCGUGACACGUAAUACCCGUCACGGUAAUAGUGGUACGAUAUUAUAGCACCGCUAAUGUCAUUCAUUUGUGAUUUAAUGGGAGAAGUCUCGACCGCAGUCCAUAGGAGGACAACGACUGUGCACAGCCGGCUGUCGAAUCGGAGAGAACGCCGCCGAAUCGAAUCUCCUCGUGAAAAUGGACAUUAAUAUAGCGAAACGCGAUACGCUUUACUCGAUCGACGCGAUCGAUUUC